UUCAGAUGAAGAUGUAGAACUCUCAGUUCCUCCUGCACCAUGUCUGCCUGGAUACUGCCAUGUUCCUACCUUGAUGAUAAUGAACUGAACCUCUGAACCUCUAUUGGAACUAUUGGGAACCUAACUGGGGAAGCCGGCUAUGGUGAAGCACACUUGGAAUCCCAGGAGUGUGAAGCAGAGGAUCAGGAAUCCAAGACGAGAUGAACUUGGCUUCAGGAUGCAUCAACCGUGUCCCAUGAUUAGAUGUUCUGUGAAUUUUGACCAGUUGUAGAGCUCUGUCUGCGGCCAAAAGUAGAGUGUAUGGCACAUACAUGUAGAUGCCUGCAGAGGCCAGAAGAAGGAGUUGGAUCCCCUGAGGCUGAGGCUGGACCAUUGUUAAGUACUAGGAGCCUAAUUUCAGUUGUCUGGAAGAACAGCCAUCACUUUUAACUUGGGAGUCACCUCUCCAGUCCGAACCUUUGCUGCCGCUUUAGUUGACUAAUUCAGGUAUUUUGUUAGAGUCACGCAAAACCGAGUAACAAGCGAAACACACACAUUUAUUACAUGCAUGAGGCUAUCACAUGGAAGGAAAUGCACACUCAGAGUCCGAGAGAGACUUAGCAGCUCACUCACCCUUCUCAUAGGUGAGAGGGGAGAAGAAGCAAAGACAUUUCAGAGGAAACGGAACGACCUUAAGGAAGAUGGAUGGGCUCAGAGGACAGAUGACAGCCUGUGACACAAUCUGCCUGGGCCUUGUUCCUCUCCUAUGACCCUGCUUGCUAUACCCUGCUUGCUACAAUUCCGGACAAGUGUGGUUACCUUUGCAGAAUGUAAUUCAGAAACAAAACAAAACAAACAAAACCCCCAAGCCUCCAACAACAACAACAAACCUGUAACCAUUGUUCCCUAAGUUCCCUUAGUUUAAGGUUACCAGCAGGGCACAGUGGCAUGUUUCAGAAAGGCAGUCCUGAGCUGCUUCAAACCAGUGACUUUUAUAUUCCUUAGAAUUUAAAUCAUCCUAACUCCCCGAUAGACCCUCCUUCUCUUCAGCUCCCCUCCCAGCAGGAGAUAAAUUGAAUAUUAUACAGAAGCCAUAAAAGCAGAGAUAUUCAUUCUCUAAAUGGUUUUAAUGGAAGCGAUAAACACAGCAUUUGUCCACCAACAAUAAGCCAGCCCCGCUCCUAUAACAGCAAGGGCAGAACCAGAGAUCUUGAAGUGCAGUUCACACAGAAUACAGGGGGUCUCAAAGAACCGUGUGCUUGCUGCAUAUUAAUGGGGAUGGAGUCUGUGGUGAACAGUCUUUGGGGUAUGUGUGGUUUCCUUAGUCAGAUGUCUAAUUCUCACCUUCCUCGUGGCCCUGGCUUUGGCCCCAAGCUCCACCCCUCCCCUGAGCUUUAUCCUGGAUUCAGGAGAUGGCAGGGACUGUAAAUCUGGGCUGAGGUGAGACAGCUGUUUUGCAUAAUUACUUGGUAAUUUGCGAAAGCUGAAAUUUUAAUCACCUUUAGGUCAACUCAAACUACCCCAUCCAGAACACCUGCAUCAAAGCGGCAGCUUGCAAUGCCAGGCUCGGCAGCCUCAGUCCUUCUGCGCCCCGCCCCCUCCACCCUUCCUGGGAGAUUUCUGUGAGAGGUAGGUCUGAUCUAAGGACCUCAUUUGAAGUCCUCUGACUCCUCACCUCCCAGACUCCCAGCUCCAGUCAUAGCAGGAUGACAGCUCUCACACAGCUGGCAUGUCAUGCCUGUGCACCAGUGAAAACCCUUUCCUAUGCUCAGAAGCCGACUUCUUCCAUCCUGUUUGCUGAAGCCCUCACCUUGGCUAGUUAUCUCCAGGAAGGUCUCCCGAGUGCCUAGAAGGAGUUGGUUAGGGAUUUCCUGUUCUGAAGGGCAGAGUUCUUGCCCUUUAACCUCACGCUCAGAGUGGAAUUAUCCUCCUGUUUGUCUCUCUCGCUUGUUCAUACGUGCCUCUCAACAUCUCAGUGCAGGAUACAUCUUUAUCUUUAUAGCCAUUAAACUCAGGGUAGGCUAUCACAAAGCAAUCAUCCCACAGAUGUCGACUGAAAGAACAAAUGCAUGAAUGAACAAGAGAACAAUAAAUUGGGAGAAAGAAAUCAAGAACUUGAGGAUAGUACUGCUAUGUCUUUUUCAAAGACACACACUUCUCAAUUAAUUCCUGUGAAAUGCGUACAUAGUUGCUUUAGUUCUCUGUACCCUGAGUUUCUUGUCAACAUGACACAAGUGGGAUCAUUUGGGAAGAAGGAGCUUCAAGUGAAAAUACCCCCAUUACA